rnacentral:rRNA from 1 species
AUACGUAGGGGGCAAGCGUUAUCCGGAAUUACUGGGUGUAAAGGGAGCGCAGACGGCUAAGCAAGUCUGAUGUGAAAGUCAUGGGCUCAACCCAUGGAUUGCAUUGGAUACUGCCGCGCUUGAGUGCAGGAGAGGUUAUCGGAAUUCCAGGUGUAGCGGUGAACUGCGUAGAGAUCGGGAGGAACACCAGUGGCGAAGGCGGGUAACUGGACUGCAACUGACGCUGAGGCGCGAAAGUGUGGGGAGCAAACAGGAUUAGAUACCCUGGUAGUCCACACUGUAAACGAUGAAUGCUAGGUGUAAGAGGUAUCGACCCCUUUUGUGCCGGAGUCAACACAAUAAGCAUUCCGCCUGGGGAGUACGGCCGCAAGGUUGAAACUCAAAGGAAUUGACGGGG